CCCCGCCAUGGUGCUGGAGUCGGUGGUCGCAGACUUGCUGAACCGCUUCCUAGGGGACUACGUGGAGAACCUGAACAAGUCCCAGCUAAAGCUGGGGAUCUGGGGCGGUAAUGUGGCUUUAGAUAAUCUGCAGAUAAAAGAAAAUGCUCUGAGUGAAUUGGAUGUUCCUUUCAAAGUCAAGGCUGGCCAAAUUGAUAAAUUAACUUUGAAGAUUCCUUGGAAAAACCUUUAUGGAGAAGCAGUUGUUGCCACCCUAGAAGGAUUAUACCUGCUUGUGGUCCCUGGAGCAAGUAUCAAGUAUGAUGCGGAGAAAGAAGAAAAAUCCUUGCAGGAUAUUAAGCAGAAAGAACUUUCCCGAAUUGAAGAAACCCUUCAAAAAGCAGCAGAGAAAGGCGCACACGCAGGGGAGUUCAUGUAUGGCUUGGAAAACUUGCUUUACAAGGACGUCAAGCCUGGACGUAAGCGUAAAAAGCACAAAAAACAUUUUAAGAAACGUUUUAAAGGUCUUGAUCGCUCCAAAGAUAAGCCCAAAGAAGCAAAAAAAGAUACAUUUUUGGAAAAAUUGGCAACUCAAGUAAUAAAAAAUGUUCAAGUGAAAAUCACAGACAUUCACAUUAAAUAUGAAGAUGAUGUCACUGAUCCAGAAAGGCCGCUUUCAUUUGGUGUCACCUUGGGAGAAUUUAGUCUGUUGACGACAAAUGAACAUUGGACUCCGUGCAUUUUAAAUGAAGCAGAAAAAAUUAUAUAUAAGCUUGUGAAACUUGACAGUCUCAGUGCCUACUGGAAUGUCGGCUGCUGCAUGUCUUACCAUGGAUCCAGGGAGCAUAUCUUGGAUCAACUGAAGCGUGAAAUUCUUACAAGUAGAAACAUUCCCCCAGAUCAUCAGUACAUUUUCCAGCCAAUAUCAGCCUCUGCAAAGCUCUACAUGAAUCCCUGUGCAGAAUCAGAGCUCAAAACACCCAAACUUGAUGGGAACGUAGAAGUACAAAAUAUUGCCAUUGAGCUGACGAAGCCCCAGUACUUAAGCAUGAUUGACUUUUUGGAGUCGCUGGAUUAUAUGGUUAGAAAUGUACCAUAUAGGAAGUACAAACCUUGCUUACCACUUCACACCAAUUGUCGGCAAUGGUGGAAAUAUGCAAUUGAUUCUGUUCUUGAAGUUCAUAUAAGAAGAUAUACUCAGAUGUGGUCAUGGAGUAACAUAAAAAAACAUAGGCAGUUACUCAAGAGUUACAAAAUUGCCUACAAAAACAAGUUAACACAAGCAAAAGUCUCAGAAGAAAUACAAAAACAAAUUCAGGACUUGGAGAAGAGUCUAGAUGUUUUUAACAUUAUUUUAGUGAGACAACAAGCUCAAGUUGAGGUCAUUCAUUCUGGGCAGAAGUUAAGGAAAAAGUCUGCUGAGGCAGGCGAGAAGCGUGGCUGGUUUAGUGGGUUUUGGGGAAAGAAAGAGUCCAAGAAAAAAGAUGAGGACUCACUGAUCCCUGAAACCAUCGAUGACCUUAUGACUCCAGAGGAGAAAGAAAAGUUCUUCACUGCCAUUGGCUACAGUGAGAGUUCCUACAACUUUGCUUUGCCCAAGCAGUAUGUGGCCCAUAUACUGACUCUGAAGUUGGUGAGCACCUCUAUCAUAAUAAGAGAAAACAGGAAUGUUCCAGAAAUCCUGAGAAUUCAGAUAAUUGGCUUGGGUACCCAAGUAUCCCAGCGACCAGGAGCACAAGCACUUAAGAUAGAAGCAAAAUUAGAACAUUGGUACGUCACGGGCUUGCGACAACAAGACAUUGUGCCGUCACUGGUGGCUUCCAUUGGUGAUACUUCAUCAUCCUUGCUCAAAAUUGAGUUUGAAACCAACCCUGAGAACAGUCCUGCUGAUCAGACUCUGCUCGUUCAGUCUCAGCCUGUGGAGGUCAUCUAUGAUGCUAAAACUAUCAACGCUAUAGUUGAAUUCUUUCAGUCAGAUAAGGGGUUGGAUCUUGAGCAAAUUACAUCAGCCACAUUGAUGAAGCUGGAAGAAAUUAAGGAGAGAACAGCCACAGGACUAACACAUAUUAUUGAGACUCGGAAAGUCCUCGAUUUAAGGAUAAAUCUGAAGCCUUCUUAUCUAAUAAUUCCACAGACAGGUUUUCACCAUGAAAAGUCAAAUCUUCUCAUUUUAGAUUUUGGUACUUUUCAGCUCAACAGUAAAGACCAAGGUACACAGAAGACGACUAAUUCAUCCCUGGAAGAAAUAAUAGAUAAGGCAUAUGACAAGUUUGAUGUGGAAAUAAAGAGUGUGCAGUUGCUAUUUGCAAAAGCAGAGGAAAACUGGAAAAAGUGUAGAUUCCAGCAUCCAUCAACUAUGCACAUAUUGCAACCCAUGGAUAUUCAUGUUGAGUUGGCCAAGGCAAUGGUGGAGAAGGAUGUUAGAAUGGCCAGAUUUAAAGUGUCAGGAGGAUUGCCUUUGAUGCACGUGAGGAUUUCUGACCAGAAGAUAAAAGACACGCUGUGUUUGAUUAAUAGUAUACCCUUGCCACAGAAGUCGUCUACACAGUCCCCGGAGAGACAGGUAGCCUCGAUUCCUGUUCUUUCAGGUGGGACGAAAGGUCUUCUUGGCACUUCACUGUUGCUGGAUGGAUUGGAAUCAGAGUCUGAUGACGAGUAUUUUGAUGCUGAGGAUGGAGACUUGCAGACUGCUAGAACUGUGAAAGCCUCGGAACUGAAAAAAGCCUCUGAGGUUCCAAAUGAGGAGCUGGUUAACCUUCUGCUCAAGUUUGAGAUUAAAGAGGUGAUUUUGGAACUCACUAAACAACAGAAAGAAGAAGAGACAAUUUUAGUAUUUAAUAUCACCCAGUUAGGGACAGAAGCAACAAUGAGGACAUUUGACUUGACUGCAGUGUCCUAUUUGAGGAAAAUCAGCUUGGAUUACCAUGAAAUUAAAGGAUCCAAAAAGAAGCCCCUUCACUUGAUUAGCUCUUCAGACAAACCUGGACUAGAUCUUUUAAAAGUGGAGUACGUUAAGGUUGAUAAGAAUGGACCUAGUUUUCAAACUACUUUUGAAAAAACUGAACAAACCAUUAAGGUAACUUUUUCAUCUUUGAAUCUGUUGCUACAAACACAAGCUCUUCUGUCUGCUCUUAACUACUUGACGACCAUCAUCCCAUCAGAUCGUGAGAACACCGGUGUUGUCAAGGAGGCGCAGGCUGCGUCUGAGAAGCAAAAGAACUCUCCCCUGCAGAAAGCCAUGGUGUCCUCUAGAGAUAGUGACAUUAUUAACUUUAGGCUGUUUGCCAAAUUGAAUGCUUUCUGUGUCACUAUCUGCGACGAGAAGAGCAAUAUUGCUGAAAUCAAGAUACAAGGCCUUGAUUCUUCCCUUUCUCUUCAGUCAAAGAAGCAGUCACUUUUUGCCAGGCUGGAAAACAUUAUUGUAACAGAUGUCGACCCCAAAACUGUUCAUAAGAAAGCUGUAUCCAUAGUUGGAAAUGAAGUUUUUCGUUUUAACCUGGAUUUGUAUCCCGAUGCUACUGAGGGGGAUUCCUACACUGACAUGUCCACCGUGGAUGGUGUGGUGGCUUUGCACGUCGGCUGUAUUCAGAUUGUGUACCUUCAUAAAUUCCUUCUGUCACUGCUGAGCUUCCUGAACAAUUUCCAAGUGGCCAAAGAGGCGCUGAGUGCUGCCACUGCCCAGGCUGCAGAAAAAGCUGCCACGAGUGUGAAAGAUCUUGCCCAGAGGAGUUUUCGUGUUUCUGUCAAUAUUGAUUUGAAAGCGCCAGUCAUUGUCAUUCCACAGUCCUCCGUCUCCACCAACGCGGUCGUGGUCGAUCUUGGAUUAAUUAGAGUUCACAAUCAGUUCAGUCUGGUGUCAGGUGAAGACACCACAAGUCCUCCAGUGAUCGACAAGAUGGAGGUGCAGCUUACGAAACUGAAACUCUCUAGGACAGCAAUCCAGCCAGGCGCCUCCCAUCCUGAUAUUCAGCUGUUGCACCCAAUUAACUUGGAGUUUUUUGUCAAUCGGAAUCUAGCUGCAAAUUGGUACCAUAAGGUGCCUGUUCUAGAAAUUAGAGGGUGUCUUGAUUCAAUGAAUGUUAGUCUAAAUCAAGAGGAUCUUAAUCUUCUGUUUAGAAUACUGGCAGAAAAUCUUGGUGAGGCCUCUGAAGACUUGGAUAAAGGGAAACCUAGAAUACAAGAGAUAGGGGAAACGAAGGCGUGCCGAGAAGUCUCUGCACCCCAGGAUGUGCCCACCACACAGGGUGCGUCACCAGCCAGAGUGGAAGAGACGAGGUCCAUAGACAUCAUUAAUGUACUACUGAAUUUUGAAAUUAAAGAGGUUAUGGUUACUUUGAUGAAAAAAGCAGAAAAGAAAGGAACACCCUUACAUGAACUGAAGAUCCUGCAUCUUGGGGUGCAGGCUAGAGUAAAGGCCCAUGACAUGACUGCUGAAGCUUACCUGAGAAGAAUUAGCGUGCGGUGCUUUGAUUUUCCUGAUUCUAAAGGUGAGCCUCUGUACAUUGUCAACUCCUCUCACAUGUCUGAUGGGACCCUCCUGAAAAUGCUCUUCAUUAAGGCAGACAGCGAUGGACCAGAAUUUAAAACUGUUUAUGAUAACACCAAACAGAAGCUGAAGGUUUCGUUUUCAUCUUUGGACUUGGUGCUUCAUUUGGAAGCCUUGCUUUCCCUCAUGGAUUUUUUGUCAUCUGCUGUUCCAUCCUCUGACUCUUCUUCCUCUGGGAAGGAGUCUGGACCGAAGUCACUUGUGGGAGAAACCAAAAGUCUUGCCAUCAAAGCUGGGCCCAGCACUUCUGAAGGUGAUGUGCUUGAUUUGAAGGUCACAGCUGAAUUAAAUGCCUUUAACAUCUUUGUUUGUGAUCAGAAGAGUAACAUAGCAGAUAUUAAAAUACAUGGAAUGGAUGCCUCUAUUUCUGUGAAGCCAAAGCAGACUGAUGUGUUUGCCAGACUUGAGAAUAUCAUAGUUAUGAAUGUUGAUUCACUGCCCAUUCACAAAAAGGCCGUCUCUAUUUUGGGAGAUGAAGUCUUCAGGUUCCAGAUGACGCUGUAUCCAGAUGCCACAGAAGGCGAGGCCUAUAGGGAUAUGUCUAAAGUGGAUGGCAAACUUAGUCUCAAAGUGGGCUGUAUUCAGAUCGUCUAUGUUCAUAAAUUCUUCAUGUCUCUUUUGAGCUUCCUCAACAAUUUCCAAACUGCCAAAGAAGCCUUGAGUACAGCCACAGUCCAGGCUGCAGAAAGAGCUGCAUCCAGCGUGAAGGACCUGGCGCAGAAGAGCUUCCGGCUUCUGAUGGACAUCAAUCUGAAAGCGCCUGUCAUUACUAUUCCCCAGUCUUCUGUGUCUCCUAAUGCCGUUAUAGCAGAUCUUGGCUUGAUCAGGGUUGAGAACAAGUUUAGCUUGGUUCCUGUGGAGCACUACUCUCUUCCCCCAGUGGCUGAGAAUAUGAGCAUCCAGCUUACUCAGCUGAAACUCUCCAGAACUGUUUUACAGUUUGACUCGCUCCAGCCUGACAUUGAAAUCUUAAAACCAGUGAACAUGCUUUUAUCCAUACAGCGGAAUUUGUCAGCAGCAUGGUACACACAGAUUCCAGGCAUGGAGAUCAAAGGAAAGCUUAAGCCUAUGCAGGUUGCUCUCAGUCAAGAUGACUUGACAGUUUUAAUGAAAAUUUUGCUGGAAAACCUUGGGGAAGCUUCUUCACAGCCAAGCCCUACCCAGUCUGCACAGGAGGCUGCAAAAGUGAAGAGAGAUACUCGGAGUGGGCCUGACUACCUUAAAGAACAAGAUUUGACAGACCCAAAGGCCCCUGUGGAUCAGACUGUCACCCUUCAGUUUGGCUUCCACUUUGACUCUCUGUCCAUUAUCCUUUACAACAAUGACAGCCACCAGGAGUCCAGACUCUCAUUUCAUAAUGAUAGUUUCCGUCUUGGUGAGCUCAGACUACACCUGAUGGCUUCUGCAGGGAAGAUGUUCAAGGAUGGGUCUAUGGAUGUCAGCCUUAAACUGAAGACAUGCACUCUUGAUGAUCUCCGAGAAGGAAUUGAGAGAGCAACGUCCAGGAUGAUUGACAAAAAGAAUGACCAAGAUAGCAAUAGUUCUAUGGUUGAUGUAAGUUAUAGACAAGAUAAAAAUGGAAGUCAGAUCAAUGCUGUUCUUGACAAGUUGUACGUGUGUGCCAGCGUGGAGUUCCUGAUGACCGUGGCAGAUUUCUUCAUCAAAGCUAUGCCUCAGAGUCCAGAAGACAUAGCAAAAGAAAUACAGAUUCCAUCAAGACAGACAGCCGUGGGGAGAGUCAAGACAGAGAAAGAUGAUUCUGUAAGACCAAAUAUGACCUUGAAGGCAAUGAUCACAGACCCAGAAGUGGUGUUUGUUGCCAACCUGACAAGGGCAGACGCUCCUGCUCUGACAGCCUCAUUCCAGUGUAACCUCUCCCUGUCAACGUCCAAACUCGAGCAGAUGAUGGAAGCUUCUGUGAGAGAUCUGAAAGUGCUCGCCUGCCCCUUCCUGAGAGAAAGGAGAGGGAAGAACAUCACCACGGUGUUACAGCCCUGCUCUUUAUUUAUGGAAAAGUGCACAUGGGCUUCAGGGAAACAGAACAUAAAUAUCAUGGUUAAAGAGUUUGUGAUUAAGAUCUCGCCUAUAAUCCUGAAUACUGUGAUGACCAUCCUGGCUGCCAUGUCUCCAAAAGCCAAAGAAGACGACUCGAAAGACACUGCUAAGGAGAUGGACAAUCUCUGGGCCAUCAAAUCUGUUACUGAUUAUAACUCUUGGUUUCUUGGUGUUGACACGGCAACAGAAGUAACAGAAAAUUUCAGAGACUUUGAACAUCCACCGAUAGAGGAAAACUGUGUGGUUGCUGUGGAGUCAGUUCAGGUCACCCUAGAAUGUGGCCUUGGGCAUCGCACCAUGCCCCUGUUACUGGCAGAGUCUAAGUUUUCUGGAAAUAUUAAAAACUGGACUUCUCUAAUGGCUGCUGCUGCUGACAUGACAUUAGAGGUUCACUAUUACAAUGAAAUCCAUGCUGUCUGGGAGCCACUGAUUGAAAGAGUGGAGGGGAAAACACCAUGGAGCUUAAAGCUUAAUGUGAAGAAGAAUCCGAUCCAGGAUAAAAGCUUGAUGCCGGGAGAUGAUUUUAUUCCUGAGUCACAAAUGGCAGUUCAUAUUUCUUCAGGAGCUACGAUGAAUAUCACAAUAUCCAAAAGCUGUCUUAAUGUUUUCAGCAAUUUAGCAAAAGGCUUCUCAGAGGGGGCUGCUUCUUCUUUUGACUACUCUCUAAAAGACAGGGCUCCUUUUACAGUCAGGAAUGCCCUAGGUGUUCCCAUUAAGGUGCAGCCCAAUCGUAACCUCAGGGUGAUGGGUUCCCCUGAUAAGAGUGACAUUUAUAAUGUGGACACUGGUCAGCAUUUGGAGCUGGAAUAUGACAGCCUGGAACCUUCGCGUCAAGGAAAGCUGUCGAUUCUGAGCCGACAGGAGAGUUCCUUCUUCACGCUGACCUUUGUACCACAUGGCUAUACGGAAGUGGGUAGUGUCCCUGUGGCCAGGCCUGGCCGGCGAUUGUAUAAUGUACGGAAUCCCAGUGCCAGCCGUUCUGAUUCUGUGUUGGUGCAGAUUGAUGCGACAGAAGGUAAUAAGGUCAUCACUCUCCGCUCGCCUCUGCAGAUUAAAAACCACUUCUCGAUAGCAUUUAUCAUCUACAAAUUUGUCAAGAGUGUUAAGCUGCUGGAGCGCAUUGGAAUAGCCAGACCUGAGGAGGAGUUCCACGUCCCUUUGGAUUCCUAUCGAUGUCAGCUGUAUGUCCAGCCGGCUGGCAGGCUAGAGCAGCAGUACACACAGUCCACCACGUACAUUUCCUGGAAGGAAGAGCUUCAUCGUAGCAGCGAGGUGAGGUGCAUGCUGCAGUGCCCUUCAGUGGAAGUCAACUUCUUACCACUCAUCGUGAACACAGUCGCUCUGCCUGAUGAGCUGAGCUACAUCGGUGCCCACGGGGAAGACUGGGACCCAGCCUAUGUUAUCCACCUUUACCCUCCUCUCACCUUGCGGAACCUUCUUCCAUAUUCGCUAAGGUACUUGCUUGAGGGGACUGCAGAAGCCCAGGAGCUUGCAGAAGGCAGUGCUGCCGAUGUGCUCCACUCCCGAAUCAGUGGCGAGAUCAUGGAGCUGGUUCUGGUGAAAUACCUGGGCAAGAACUGGAGCGGACACUUCCGCAUCUGCGACACACUUCCCGAGUUCUUCCUCGUGUGCUUUUCCUCAGACACCGGGGAAGCAAUGACAGUCGACUUGUCAGUACACGUCAGGCGACUUGGCUGCCGGGUGGAGCUGUCUGUCUUCAGUCCCUACUGGCUAAUCAACAAAACUUCUCGGGUUCUCCAGUAUUGCUCUGAGGACAUACAUGUUAAACACCCGGCCGAUUUCAGGGAUAUUGUUUUAUUCUCUUUCAAGAAGAAGAACAUCUUUAGUAAAAAUAAGGUACAGUUAAAGAUUUCAACUAGUGACUGGUCCAACGGUUUCUCACUGGACACCGUGGGAAGUUACGGGUGUGUGAAGUGCCCUGCCACCAAUAUGGACUACCUGGUUGGGGUCAGCAUCAAAAUGAGCAGUUUCAACCUCUCAAGAAUAGUCACUCUGACUCCCUUCUGCACUAUUGCAAACAAGUCCUCCUUAGAGCUGGAAGUCGGAGAGAUUGCCUCCGAUGGCUCCAUACCCAGCAACAAAUGGCACUAUGUCGCUUCUUCAGAGUGCAUCCCAUUUUGGCCUGAAAAUUUGUCCGGCAAGCUUUGUGUGAGAGUGGUGGGCUAUGAGGGAUCCUCCAAGCCAUUCUUCUACAACCGACAAGACAAUGGCACUUUAUUGAGCUUGGAGGAGUUGAAUGGAGGUAUCUUGGUGGAUAUAAACACUGCUCAACACUCAACUGUCAUAACCUUCUCUAAUUACCACGAGGGAUCUGCACCUGCUCUGAUAAUGAACCACACACAGUGGGAUGUCCUCACAUAUAAACAGAGUGGCUCACAGGAGGAAUUUGUAUUGCUGCCAAGAGAAACCCGACUCUUUGCCUGGGCAGAUCCCACUGGCACCAGGAAACUCACAUGGAGCUAUGCAUCAAACGUUGGAGAGCAUGAUCUCUUAAAGGAUGAGUGUGGACAGUUUCCAUAUGAUGCAAACAUCCAAAUACACUGGGUGUCCUUCCUCGAUGGGCGCCAGAGGGUUCUCCUUUUUACCGAUGAUGUUGCUUUGGUUUCCAAAGCGCUCCAGGCAGAAGAAAUGGAACAGGCUGAUCACGAAGUCACCUUGUCUCUCCAUAGCCUUGGGCUUUCUCUGGUUAACAAUGAAGUGAAGCAGGAAGUCUCAUAUGUUGGAAUCACCAGUUCAGGUGUUGUUUGGGAGAUGAAGCCAAAGCAGAAAUGGAAGCCAUUCAGCCAGAAGCAGAUAAUGUCACUGGAACAGUCCUACCAGAAGCAUCUUGUUUCGCAAGACCGUGGCUGGAUUAAGCUGGACAGCAAUUUUGAGGUCAAUUUUGACAAAGUUCCGAUGGAAAUGCGGCUUCCUAUCCGGUGCCCUAUUAAACGGGACUUCUUAUCAGGGAUUCAGGUUGAGUUUAAGCAAUCUCCUCACCAGAGAAGCUUAAGGGCCCGGUUAUACUGGCUCCAGGUUGACAAUCAGUUACCAGGCACAAUGUUCCCAGUGGUAUUUCAUCCUGUGGCUCCUCCCAAAUCCAUUGCUUUAGAUUCAGAGCCCAAACCGUUCAUCGACGUGAGUGUGAUCACAAGGUUCAACGAGUACAGUCAGGUCUUACAGUUCAAGUAUUUUAUGGUUCUCAUCCAGGAAAUGGCUUUAAAAGUUGAUCAGGGCUUCCUUGGAGCUGUUAUUGCACUGUUUACUCCAACAACUGCCCCUGAAACUGAAAGAAAACGGACAAAAUUAAUCCAACAAGAUAUCGAUGCUCUCAACACAGAGUUAAUGGAGUCUUCCAUGACUGAUAUGUCGAUCCUGAGUUUCUUCGAACAUUUCCAUAUAUCUCCUGUUAAGUUGCAUUUGAGUCUGUCUUUGGGUUCCGGAGGUGAGGAAUCAGACAAAGAGAAACAGGAAAUGAUUGCAAUUCAUUCUGUGAACCUGCUGUUGAAAAGCAUAGGUGCCACUCUGACUGAUGUGGAUGACCUCAUAUUCAAACUUGCUUAUUAUGAGAUCCGCUAUCAGUUUUACAAAAGAGACCAGCUCAUGUGGAGUGUUGUUAGACACUACAGUGAACAGUUCCUGAAGCAGAUGUAUGUGCUUGUAUUGGGCUUAGAUGUGCUUGGAAACCCAUUUGGACUGAUUAGGGGCCUGUCUGAAGGAGUUGAAGCAUUCUUCUACGAGCCCUUCCAGGGUGCUGUUCAAGGUCCUGAAGAAUUUGCUGAAGGAUUAGUGAUUGGGGUAAGAAGCCUCUUUGGACACACAGUAGGUGGUGCCGCGGGAGUCGUAUCUCGAAUCACUGGUUCCGUUGGGAAGGGCCUGGCAGCAAUCACAAUGGACAAAGAGUAUCAGCAGAAGAGAAGAGAGGAGAUGGGUCGACAGCCUAAAGAUUUUGGAGACAGUCUGGCCAGAGGAGGGAAGGGCUUCCUGCGAGGAGUUGUUGGCGGGGUUACUGGAAUAAUAACAAAGCCUGUGGAAGGAGCCAAGAAGGAGGGCGCUGCUGGUUUCUUUAAAGGAAUUGGAAAAGGGCUCGUGGGUGCCGUGGCUCGUCCAACUGGUGGAAUCAUAGAUAUGGCUAGCAGCACCUUCCAAGGCAUUCAGAGGGCAGCAGAAUCCACUGAGGAGGUAUCCAGCCUCCGUCCACCUCGUCUGAUCCACGAAGAUGGCAUCAUCCGUCCAUAUGACAGGCAGGAGUCUGAGGGCUCCGACUUAUUAGAGCAAGAACUGGGAACACAGGAGUAAAUGUUUCCUGUACUGCCUGAUUCCACCCUAAAACUCAAAUCAAACUGCUCCUAUUUAACUGUGUGAAUCAGACUGAGGGUGGAUUUUAAUGAGAUUUUCUUUAUAACUCUCACUUCUAUCUGAACUCUUCAUAAUAAUGGCUUGGCCACGGUUGAAAAUUGUUGUGGCUUCUUGUAAUUCUACACAGGUCUAAGAGGUGUAAAAGGUGCAGGAAAUAACUUUGCUGGUUUGGGGUUGGGGGUCAAAGGGUAUUGAACCGAGAGCAUAUAUUUUGCUACAGUUUUGGAAGUUUAUCAUUUUUGUGUAUUGGGUUGUUCAUGUACAGAUGAAGUUGAGAAGGGUGAGUCUUUGCAGUGGAUGUCUCUUUAUAUUUGUGCAUUUCGAUAAUGGAAUUAUGUAGAGUUAUGUUCCACAUGUCACUCAAAUUUACUCAAGUUAUGGGACUGUUAAUAAGUAAUAUGUCAGUUUCUUUGAACUUGUUCUUAGACCUGAGAUGAGACCUGGCAUAGGAGUUAUAGGAAUAUGUUUCUUCAGUAUUUUUUCUUUUUUUUUUAAAACUCAGUUAUGGCUAAAUAAAUGAAGUAAUUUUAUAUGGUCUACUCCUUUAGCCUUUAGCGGAAUGCUUUUGAAAAACUGAGCCUCAUUGUUGGUUAUGCGUACUUUGUAAUUACUGAUUUUAAUUAUCGUAGUAGAAUCAGUAACAGAACAUGUAAUUAGGCAAAUUACCUCUGUGGCAGUUGAAUGUAUAAAUACCUUUACUUUUAAGAAGCAAACUCUUUAGAGGCUGAGAAGAUGGCUCAGUUGGUAAAGUCUUUACAAAAAAAGCACAAAGACCUGAAUUCAGAAAUCCAGUACCCAUUUAAAAGCCAUGUGAUGGUGGUACCUGUCUCUAACUUCAGUCUGAGAGAAGGGUCUGGAAACAGGCAGAACCUGGGGCUCACUGGCAGCCAGAUCACUUAUUUUAGCGAGCACCAGAUUUAGUGGGAGACCCUACUCAAAACCAAAACAAAGCAAGAGAUUAAUGGAGGAAGAUACCUGAUAGUGACCUUAGGCCUCCAUACAUACAUGUGUGCACACCUCCACAUACACAUGCACCAACAUAAACAUGCAUAUGCCAUUGACACUUCAUGAGUUUAACUUCAAAGAUUUCUCUUGAUGUGAAAAAAUUAUUAUCAUUUAUACCUCCAGUUAAUUCUCAAAGUAAGUUAUAUUUAAUUUUUUUAAAAAAUAAAUAAUGGAAAUGUUUAAUUUUGUGAUUUAGCAGUGUCUUAUCUCACGAUUUCAGUUGAAGCCAAAAUAUAAACCCCAUCCCUAAUAUAUGUUUGAAGAUAAAAGAACUAGUUAAGAUGCAAGCAUUCAGUUGGAUUCUAAUUUGUUUUUUUAGGCAGAGUCUCAUUGUGUGGCCCUGUCUGGCCUAGAAACUCUCUCUAUAGACCAGACUGGCCUUAACUCACAGAUAUCCUCCUUCUUCUGCCUCCAAGUGCUGGAAUUGAAGGCAUGAAUUUAUAUGUUUUUAAACAUAUAGUUAUAAAAAAAACAAAUUAUUUGAAUGCUUUACAUUUAAAAAACACUAUUUAAAGAAAAAUAAUUGAUGUCCAAUGACCAGACAGUGUUAGUUGGACAAAGAAAUGACUUAUAUCAUUGGGCUGGGGUACAGCUCAGGUAAAAUAGCAUGCCCAAGGUCUGGGUUUGGCCCCUGGCACCACUAUAUUCCCCUGAAAAUAAGGCUUCUGUGCUUAUGGGACCAAAUAUAGAAAAACAUGUAAAUAUUAACAGUAACAAAAAGAAAGGAAGAAUCUUCUUGUGCCUGGAGAAUAGGGGAUAGACACAAUGUCCCCGUGUGUGCAGCUUCUGUGAGAAUCAAGCACAGUCCUUCGCUUCAGAUGCUGUAGGCUCUUGUAUGAGAGCCACAACUUUUAGUUUUCCUGAGUAUAUCUCGACUUCCUCAGACUUUUGUGAACCUCUGAAACCUAAGGUCUUUAUUGUUUAUUUUUAUUUUAGCUCCUUGGUGAUUCAUUCCUGUGAUUGUUCUUUUUAUAAAUGUUUAUUACGAAGCACAAAAAGUUACUGUAACUAAGCAUCUAGGCAUCUCGUAUGGAUUUUUAGUUUUAGCUCGAUAUCAGACAACCCUUUAAACUUUGAUAUAUGUAAUAAUUAUUGGAAGAAACAGAAUGUAGGUUGCUGUAGAAUUUGAUAGUUUGUUCAUGGGUAACUGAGAAGUUUAGCCCAUUUGCAUUUCUUGCUUGCCCAUAUUGCUGUGAUCAGCGAGUUGGGUAAGAAGCACUUACUGGUUGUUUAGAUUCUACUGGACUGAUCCCAUAGGGAGUAAGUAGACAUGUAAAGAUCACAGAGUUAUAAGUAUUAUAUCCUCCUAGAUCUUACUGUAACAUUAGUUUAUUCUAAAUGAUUUAUUUGGGAACCAUUUCCCCUUUUUUCUUUUUAACUCCCAAGCAUUCCUCUGUGUUCUUUACUGCUUGGUUGUGAAAAGCCUUACUCAUGUGCCAUGUGUUUGUAGAAUAGUUCUCCAAUAUUCCCUUAAGAUAAUGCUGCUUAUGCUGCCCAUGUAUGUGUGUGUAUAUAUGUAUAUACAUAUGCAUAUAUAGACAGGUCUUAUUUAUUAUUUAUUUUGCUUAUAACUCUUAAUGUUCAUACAAGAUUUAAAGAGGCAGUCUUUGCUUUUUCUACCUAAGGUGUGUUUUUCUAUAUAUGAAAAUGCUUCAUUAACGUUUUACCCUUGGCCUGUCUACCCACUGAGAUAACCUUACAUUGUGUAUGACCUCAGUCCCCGGCAUUGGUUCCUGUGCCGUACUUGGUACUGUUAACUCUGUGAUUAACACUGCUCUGCACUGGCGUUUUGCCAUUUCAUGCCCUGUGCCGUUUCCUUAGAAUUAGUUUGAAAGGGAUGAGAGGGAAUUGGCAAAGGACCCAUUCUUUAGCAAAGUCUUACUCAGUUGCCCGUGCUGAGUUUAGAAGAGAGAGUAUCACUUUGGUCAGCCUGGCCUCCUGCUGCCCUCCGUGGCUACGGAGCUUGCUCUGGAUUUCAGAAUCCAGUGGUUCCUUACUAGCACUGAAAAGGUACUUUUUCAGUACUAGAUUUCCCAUAAGGCUCUUGGUGGUUGAAACUUGAUAAACAAUGGCGAGAUUAGGAAAGAAGCAGGUGUCUCUCUCCUCCCUGCAGCUUCUCUGGCUUACACGUGCAUUCCAAGCCCCGGCUGAAGGGCCUACAUUGUUAUGGUGUGCUAUUCUGUUUUUCCUUUUCUCUGAAGAAACUGAUGGCCGGGCGGUGGUGGCGCACGCCUUUAAUCCCAGCACUUGGGAGGCAGAGGCAGGCGGAUCUCUGUGAGUUCAAGGCCAGCCUGGUCUACAGAGCUAGUUCCAGGACAGGCUCCAAAGCCACAGAGAAACCCUGUCUCGAAAAACCAAAAAAAAAAAAAGAAACUGAUGGCAAAAUAUUGGAACUAAUUCACAGGGGCGACCUGCCCAUCUCUGAGAUGUAACCUGAAGAUGCCACCUCAGCUCUGUAGGAAUUCUCUUCCUCAUUCAUGGCUUUUGUAAUACUUGUUCAUGGCUUUUUGUAAUUGUCAAGGAAUGACUAGGGACCAACAUACUUUUAAAAUGUGGGUUCCAUCCCCAGCAUCACAAAUGAAAACGGUACUUAAGCUCUGAAAUCCCAACACCAAGCGUGUUUUCUUUGCUGUGCGUACAGUGACUUUGUGAUCCUACUGCUGUUGGCGGUGUGUUUCAGUGUACCAGUCUCGCUCAUUCACCUGUCUGUCUCUGUAUCUUAUGCCCAUGUAUUAUUUGAUCUUUAAUCGUUUAUUAUAGGUGAUAUCAAUAGUAACCUUUCAUUGGUAUUUGUUAUAAAAAAAACUUUGUUUUUUAAUGUGUAUUGACUCAUUUAAGUCAAUAGUUUUAAGAUACUUGAAAAAGAAAAUAAAUAUUUUAUUGGCUACAAUUUAUACUUGGGUUAUUUUGUCCAUUAGAAAUAAACCAUACAGACUAUUCUGAAAUGCUAUUUCAAACGAUUUUGAAAUUCUUCAUGUCCAUAAUUGUCUAUUUUAGUCAGAAAUAUAAUUUCAUACAAAAUUGUUCCUUUUCAAUGUGUGCUUACUCUACACAACCAAAUAUGAUCAAAAGCAGCAAAUACCUUGGAGGCUUAAUAGUAGUACAUAAUCCUGUCUGAAGAAGUGGUUGGGUCUUAGCAUUUUAAAAAUUAUUUUUUAAUGUAAUUAUGUGUGUGCCUGAGUGUGUGUUUGUGCACCGUGUGUGUGUGUGUGUGUGUGUGUGUGUGUGAGCCUUUGGAGGCCAGAAGAGGGCUUCAGAGCCCUUGGAACUGGAGUUACAGGCAACUAUGAAUUAUAGUGUAGGUAUCAGGAAUAGAACUCCGGUCCUCUGCUCUUGAAUUAAGCCAGUUUACCAGCCCCUGGGCCUUAGCUUUUCUGAAAAAUCACAGACUUCUCUCAAAAGAAUUGGAAGAAAAAUGUGAACCAUUCUCUGAAAAGAAUUUCAAAGCCAUGAUUUCUAAGUUUUGUGUUCUCAGCUAGCAGUUAUUAGACGCCCCCAAGCCGUUGCCAGGGAGGGCCCUUUAAGGACUGCUGAGACAUUGAUGUAGCAGUUUUGUAUUUACCACGUGUUUAUAUAUUCUUGAUUAAGGUGUGUGAGUGCUUCUGGUUGAUAGUUUAAAUCUCUUAAGUUACAAAGAACAAGAUGUUUUUCAUCAGACACUCACCUGGUAAGCAUUCAAUUCAUUUCUCUUUAAGGCAAUAGUGAAAAGUACUUGAUAUUAUAAAUAAGUUGUUUUCUUGCUUCGGAUGCCACUCUGUAGUAUGCUAGUUUUAUUUCCAAUGCACCUUUUCCUAACACUGAUUUUCAUUGACUAUUAUACAGAUAUUUAAAUAUAUGUAGUUCCCAAGUCUUAACUCUUGUUUCUUUUUCAGAACCAUAUCAAGAAGCUGGAAGGCGAGACCUACCAGUUCCACUGUGCUGUUCCUGGACACAAGAGGGCAGUCCUUAUGAUUACAAACAGGCGAGUGCUGUUCAUAAAGGAAGUUGAAAUCCUAGGCCACAUGUCUGUGGACUGGCAGU